AUACGGAGGAUGCAAGCGUUAUCCGGAUUUAUUGGGUUUAAAGGGUGCGUAGGCGGUUUGCUAAGCGGGAGGUGAAAUGCCGGCGCUCAACGUCGGAAGUGCCUCCCGAACUGGUGGACUGGAAUGACUCUGCCGUGGGAGGAAUGUGUAGUGUAGCGGUGAAAUGCUUAGAGAUUACACAGAACACCGAUUGCGAAGGCAUCUCACGAAGGGUUGAUUGACGCUGAGGCACGAAAGCGUGGGGAUCAAACAGGAUGAGAUACCCUGGUAGUCCACGCAGUAAACGAUGAUGGCUAACCGCUGGUUUUUUCGGAUCAGUGGCCAAGCGAAAGCGAUAAGCCAUCCACCUGGGGAGUACGACCGCAAGGUUGAAACUCAAAGGAAUUGACGG
rnacentral:rRNA from 1 species